UCUCCUCAUCUCACAUUUCCUAUAAAAUUUGUAUUGAUGCACAACCUAUAAUUUUAUAAUUAAUGCAUUAGUUAUAUAUACAUAUGGAACUUAAAUAACACUGUUUUUAUCAAUUAUUUCAUGUAAUUUCAACUGUUAAUUUUAUUGUAAUUCAUAUUAAGUUUGUAUUUAAGUUAGAAUAUACAUAUAUUUUUAGUUUACAAGAAAGCUUAUGCUUUGAAUAAAACAAAAAUUAGUUUUAAUUAUUAUUUAUCAUUAUUACGGGACUUAAAAUUAUAAAUACUUAUAUUUAUGUUAAUCAAUAAAAUAAGUGAAAUGCUUAAAUAUAUUUAUAUAAUGUCUUAUAUUUGUCUAUAUUUUAGUUGUUAUAUAUUUGACAAUACUCAGUCGGGCCACUAAUUUAUUGAAAGUAAGAAAUAAGUCA